AUUGAACGCUGGCGGCAGGCUUAACACAUGCAAGUCGAGCGGGGAAAGGUAGCUUGCUACCUGACCUAGCGGCGGACGGGUGAGUAAUGCUUAGGAAUCUGCCUAUUAGUGGGGGACAACAUCUCGAAAGGGAUGCUAAUACCGCAUACGUCCUACGGGAGAAAGCAGGGGACCUUCGGGCCUUGCGCUAAUAGAUGAGCCUAAGUCGGAUUAGCUAGUUGGUGGGGUAAAGGCCUACCAAGGCGACGAUCUGUAGCGGGUCUGAGAGGAUGAUCCGCCACACUGGGACUGGGACACGGCCCAGACUCCUACGGGAGGCAGCAGUGGGGAAUAUUGGACAAUGGGGGGAACCCUGAUCCAGCCAUGCCGCGUGUGUGAAGAAGGCCUUUUGGUUGUAAAGCACUUUAAGCGAGGAGGAGGCUACCGAGAUUAAUACUCUUGGAUAGUGGACGUUACUCGCAGAAUAAGCACCGGCUAACUCCGUG
rnacentral:rRNA from 1 species